UGGAGCGGCUMCAGCUCRGAUUUGAAAGCUAGCCYUCGGGUUCGCAUUGUAMUUUGUAGAGGAUGAUUUGGGGAAGCCGCCUGUCUAAGUUCCUUGGAACAGGACGUCRUAGAGGGUGAGAAUCCCGUAUGUGACAGGAAAUGGCACCCUAUGUAAAUCUCCUUCGACGAGUCGAGUUGUUUGGGAAUGCAGCUCUAAAUGGGAGGUAAAUUUCUUCUAAAGCUAAAUAUUGGCGAGAGACCGAUAGCGCACAAGUAGAGUGAUCGAAAGAUGAAAAGCACUUUGGAAAGAGAGUUAAAAAGCACGUGAAAUUGUUGAAAGGGAAGCGCUUGCAAUCAGACUUGUUUAAACUGUUCGGCCGGUCUUCUGACCGGUUUACUCAGUUUGGACAGGCCAGCAUCAGUUUCGGCGGCCGGAUAAAGGCUCUGGGAAUGUGGCCUCCACUUCGGUGGAGGUGUUAUAGCCCGGGGUGUAAUACGGCCAGCCGGGACUGAGGUCCGCGCUUCGGCUAGGAUGCUGGCGUAAUGGUUGUAAGCGACCCGUCUUGAAACACGGACC
rnacentral:rRNA from 1 species